rnacentral:rRNA from 1 species
GAUGAACGCUGGCGGCGUGCCUAAUACAUGCAAGUCGAGCGGAGCGGGGACGGGUGAGUAACAUGUGUAUAACCUCCUUUAAGACGGGGGUAAAUUCGUGAAACCGGUGCUAAACCGGCUACUUUUCGAUGGUUCGGGACUGCAUUAGCUAGUUGGUAGGGUAACGGCUAACCAAGGCAACGAUGCAUAGCUGACCUGAGAGGGUGAACAGCCACACUGGAACUGAGACACGGUCCAGAGUCCUACGGGAGGCAGCAGUAGGGAAUCUUCCGCAAUGGGCGAAAGCCUGACGGAGCAACGCCGCGUGAGUGAUGAAGGUCUUCGGAUCGUAAAGCUCUGUUAUUAGGGAAGCGUUACCUAAACAGAAAGCCACGGCUAACUACGUGCCAGCAGCCGCGGUAAUAC